rnacentral:rRNA from 1 species
AGUGAACGCUGGCGGCGUGCUUAACACAUGCAAGUCGAACGAGAACGGAUUAUAGCUUGCUAUAAUUGUCAGCUAAGUGGCGCACGGGUGAGUAAUGUAUAGGUAAUAUGCCUCUUACUAAGGGAUAACAAAUGGAAACGUUUGCUAAUACCUUAUACUCCUUAUUAACAGAAGUUAAUAAGGGAAAGACUUAUUGGUAAGAGAUUAGCCUGUAUUGUAUCAGUUAGUUGGUGGGGUAAUGGCUUACCAAGACUAUGACACAUAACUGGUUUGACAGGAUGAUCAAUCACACUGGGACUGAGACACGGUCCAGACUCCUACGGGAGGCAGCAGUGGGGAAUAUUGCACAAUGGACGAAAGUCUGAUGCAGCAACGCCGCGUGGAGGAUGACACAUUUCGGUGCGUAAACUCCUUUUAUAUGAGAAGAUAAUGACGGUAUUAUAUGAAUAAGCACCGGCUAACUCCGUGCCAGCAGCCGCCGUAA